GUGCUGGCUUGGAUAGCACAUACACUAAAACUGGACCGAUACAGAGAUUAGAGCAGCCCCUGUACACGGAUGACAUGCAAAUUUGGGAAGCGUUCCAUAUUUAA